rnacentral:tRNA from 1 species
CACCAAGAAGCUUGUACAGCAUUAGCCUUUUAAGUUAAAGACGAGACAUGAAAUCUCCUUGGUG